CUGCACAGUAGUAAUGAGACUACUGCAUAGCUCAUUGCUACUGUGUAGUAGUGUCUAAAAAUACCUGUGCAGUGAUGGAACUUAACAGUAAAACUAGUCACUGCGCAGUCAUUUACUACUUGGU